UAUGUGAUCGUCUCUCGCAUAUCAAUAAGCGGAGGAAAAGAAACUAACAAGGAUUCCCCUAGUAACGGCGAGUGAAGCGGGAAGAGCUCAAAUUUGAAAUCUUAAAGGGUUUCCCUUUACGAAUUGUAGUUUAAAGAAGUGUUUUCUGUUGAGGUUUUGGUAAAAGUUCUUUGGAAUAGGACAUCAUAGAGGGUGAGAAUCCCGUAUUUGACCUUUACUUUCAACUUUGUGAUACACUUUCAAAGAGUCGGAUUGUUUGGGAAUGCAGUCCAAAAUGGGUGGUAAAUUUCAUCUAAAGCUAAAUAUUGGCGAGAGACCGAUAGCGAACAAGUACCGUGAGGGAAAGAUGAAAAGGACUUUGAAAAGAGAGUUAAACAGUACGUGAAAUUGUCAAAAGGGAAGCGUUUGACACCAGUGUUGUUUUUCUGAAAAUCAAUUAAAGAACUGUUUAUGCUAAGUUGUUUAGACUUUAUCAGCUAUCUGCUUAGUUUUGAGCUUUUCUUUAAUGCACUUUUCAGUUAACAAGUCAACAUCAAUUUCUUUUGCUGUAAAAAAGCUUGAGGAAGGUGGCUUGAGAUUCGUCUUAAGUGUUUAUAGCCUCUUGCCUAUGCAGUCGGAGAGAUUGAGGUCUGCAGCGUAGAUCCUUCGGGGCUAAAUGCAUUUGUGCUAAGUUAUAGCAUUUUAUAGACAACUUGUUGACUAUGAUUUGUCUUGUAGCUUACUCGCUUAUGUUAUUUUACCUACGCUUAGGAUGUUGACACACGCGCGUGCUCGAUGAUAGUCUAUACAUGACUCUGUGCAUAUCAAUAAGCGGAGGAAAAGGCGGCGGAGAGUAUUGGUGUGGGCGUACCUACGCUUAGGAUGUUGACACACGCGCGUGCUCG
rnacentral:rRNA from 1 species